rnacentral:rRNA from 1 species
UGACGGAGCAACGCCGCGUGAGUGAUGAAGGCCUACUGGUCGUAAAGCUCUUUUGUCAGGGACGAAACCUGACGGUACCUGACGAAUAAGCAUCGGCUAACUCCGUGCCAGCAGCCGCGGUAAUACGGAGGAUGCAAGCGUUAUCCGGAUUUAUUGGGCGUAAAGCGUACGUAGGUGGCCAAAUAAGUCUGGGGUUAAAGCCUGCAGCCCAACUGCAGAAAAGCCUCGGAAACUAUUUAGCUAGAGUGCGGUAGGGGUAAGGGGAAUUCCCGGUGUAGCGGUGAAAUGUGGAGAUAUCGGGAAGAACACCAGCGGCGAAAGCGCCUUACUGGACCGCAACUGACGCUGAGGUACGAAAGCCAGGGGAGCA